rnacentral:rRNA from 1 species
AUUGAACGCUGGCGGCAUGCCUUACACAUGCAAGUCGAACGGUAACGCGGGGCAACCUGGCGACGAGUGGCGAACGGGUGAGUAAUGCAUCGGAACGUGCCCAGUAGUGGGGGAUAGCCCGGCGAAAGCCGGAUUAAUACCGCAUACGACCUACGGGUGAAAGGGGGGGAUCGCAAGACCUCUCGCUAUUGGAGCGGCCGAUGUCAGAUUAGGUAGUUGGUGGGGUAAAGGCCCACCAAGCCUUCGAUCUGUAGCUGGUCUGAGAGGACGACCGUCCACACUGGGACUGCGACACGGCCCAGACUCCUACGGGAGGCAGCAGUGGGGAAUUUUGGACAAUGGGCGCAAGCCUGAUCCAGCCAUGCCGCGUGCGGGAAGAAGGCGUUCGGGUUGUAAACCGCUUUUGUCAGGGAAGAAACGCUCUGGGCUAAUACCUCGGGGUAAUGACGGUACCUGAGGAAUAAGCACCGGCUAACUACGUGCCAGCCGCCGCCGUAA